AGAAGGGCUAGGCAAAUGAGGUUAAAGGACUUCCCAAGGGUUACACAGGAUCUGAGGAUAGAUUUGAACUCAGAACCUCCUGACUCUAGGUCUGAUGCUCUAUCCACUAUUCCACUUAGUUGCCUGUUACAAGUAAUUUUUUAAACCUAAAUAGAAGACUAUAAAUUUUGUCUAUUAAUUAUCACCGUGUUAUAUUGAUCUCAGUGUAUAAUUUUGUCAAGAUCUUUUUGGAUGCUAAAUGUGUCAUCUAGAGUGUUGGAUGUCCAUCCUCUCUUUGUAUCUUGUGCACAUAUGAUGAGCAUGUUAAAUAUACCUUUAUCUAAGAGGGUAGAUCAUUCCUUCUCCCUGUAAGAGUAAGAGAGGUAACCACUCAUGUGAUACUCCUUAGGUGCACAUUUGUCCAAAAUCCUCGACAGGGACUGGGAUAAAAGAGAAAUAAGGUCGAUCCUUAGAACGGUACUUGGUACAUAUUAGAAUCAUAAUAAAUGUUGAUAGAUUGAUUGAAUAUUUGAUUUUUGUCCUCAAACAUUUCAACUUGGGAAACUUGCUUGCGUGAACAAGUAAAGAACUACUUAAACUUGCUGCAAAUACAGAACAAGUACUGACCUUUAAAAGGAGAUAUAGGUGAGGUCUAAAUCCUCUGAAUCACCCAAAGAAAAGGACUACCUAAAUUAAAGAUUGUAGAAGCUGGCUGCUGGAGAGGAAAGAGCAGGGUCUGUGGAAGAGAAACAAAGAGAGAGAGGAUCUGCAGAACAAGCCUGCAUGCAGACUAAGGUAAUUAUCUGUCUGUCAAUCAAGGAGAAGUUUCCAAAUGGAAUGUUCCGAGGAGAAGGCAGUUGAGCAGACCAAGGGGAGGAACUGAUUCUGUCUCUCUCUCUGGGGUGACUGACCAGGAGACUUUGGCUCUCUGGGUUUUUCUGACAAAGGUCCCAGGAGAAAGGACAUUUGGGCCCUACUGUAAGCAAGUAACUUCAGGUAAAAAUAUAAAAUCCAACAACUCUGUUACCACCCCUCAAGACAUUCAGAAGAAGGAGCUGUUGUUCCUGAAGGCAAAUCCCUAGAAGGAUGUCUGAACAUGCUUAGAGGCAAAACAGUAUGCUUUGAAGAAAUGUCUAACUUCUGAAAGGGUCUUCUUUGAAGGAGGCUACAUUAAUUUAUAUGCAGACCUGGAACUAAGAGAUUAAAAGUAGACAAGGUACAAGUUGCUAAGGGUAAGGUUAUGGUGCACAAUGAGGGAUAAUUCAUAAUAUUACUUUUUAAAAACUGAGCAUUUUUAAUUCCAGAAAAUCCAGAUGCAGAAUUUUCAUGAAACAGAAUUCUCCAUUGAUUUUGUGAAAAGUUGUGUGGAUUGCAGUGAAGAUUCAAAGCCUACAGUGAAUAGUAAUCUACAAGGGACAGAAUUUUUAAAACCUGUGUAGUGCCCACAAAUACUUCAUUUCACUUAUUCACAUGGAUAUUUUCCAAUGUGUUUGCAACACCCAGAAUAAAAAAAAAUCAUAUCACA
rnacentral:lncRNA from 1 species